rnacentral:tRNA from 1 species
GUUUUUGUAGCUCAUUUGGGUAGAGCAAUAGACUCAUAAUCUAUCGGUAGCGGGUUCGAUUCCCGUCAAAAACACCA